AGCGGGGAAAGAAGACCCUGUUGAGCUUGACUCUAAUCUGACAUUGUGAAGAGACAUGAGGGGUGUAGAAUAAGAGGGAGAUUGUUUGGUUUCGGCCUCUCAGUCGACGGUGAAAUACCUCUACCUUCAUCGUUUCUUUACUGACUCGAUUAAAAGGAGAAUGUUGCGGUGGUUCAAUGAUGCCGCGCCCUUCGGGGCCGGAUAGUUGUUCCCGAACUUGUGUCAAAGCAAGCAAGUCGCGGGUGGACAGUGCACGGGUCUUAACUGACUUUCGUGUAUCCUUGUUUUCAUUCCGUGAGCCGUAACUUAAUUAUUGAAUUGAAGUCGGGUGGCCACGUCGCAAGGCGUUGGCUGAAGCUUUAUUGCAACCCGAUGAUCCUCUUCGAGGACAGUGUCAGGCGGGGAGUUUGACUGGGGCGGUA
rnacentral:rRNA from 1 species